AUUCACUUUGGCAGAAUAUAAUGCAUUAGCCUUAGAAGCUAAAUAUAGGAUUUCCUAAGUGAAUG
rnacentral:tRNA from 1 species